AUUUUCUAGGGUUGUACCGUGGCACAUGGAGGUUCCCAGGCUAGGGGUCCAAUAGGAGCUGUAGCCACCAGUCUACACCAUAGCCACAGCAAUGCAGGAUCCAAGGUGUGUCUCUGAUCUACACCACAGCUCACAGCAAUGGCGGAUCAUUAACCCACAGAGUAAGGCCAGGGAUUGAAUCCACAACCUCGUGGUUCCUAGUUGGAUUUGUUAACCACCGAGCCGUGACGGGAACUCCUACUUUCUUUUACAAAGACAUCAAUAUUUAUGAUCUCACUGGUUUCACUAAUUCAACUAUCAUUUAGUGAACACCUACCUUGUGACAAGUUAUGCUAUAAGUACUGAAGAUAAAAAAUUAAAUAACACUCUGUCUUUUCCUCACACUAGAUGGUAGGUGCUCUCCUCAGAGCCUGCUGCAUCCCUCAGGGCCCCAGAGAUGCUGAUUUCUGAGUCCUCACUUCCUUAGGAGGGUAAUGUUCCCCUUGCCUUCCUUGCCUUUCAGGAUUAGAAGAUUGAGUUAUGGAGAUCUGAGUUCUGGUCUCUCUGGCAUCAGGCCAUUGUGAAAGGUCCUUUCCUUUCAGGCAGAAAACCGACAAAGUCAGGCACUUUGCUCUGAGGCUUUCAUUUGCGUUUCUAAGUUGAUUGCCUAAAACUGAGACCGCUUUCCCUGUGGGGAGAGGGAUGGACUGGGCUUCUUAAAGUGUGUGUGUGUGUGUGUGUGUGUGUGUGUGUGUGUGUGUGUGUGUGUGUGUGUGUGUGUGUGUGUGUGUAAGAGAGGGCAGAGUGUGGGUGGGGUAAUAGGACCCUGUGUCCUUCUUUGAUGUUGUCCCCUUAGGGAGCCCUUAUUAGAGCCUUCUCUAGCCUUCUUCUCUCUAGUCCCUUGUAACUAGCUUCACCUCUGUCACUUUCUCCUUUCACUCCACUGGCCUCCAAGGUGUUUAGCCAGCCAAGCUUGCUCCCUCCUUAUGGCCUUUAUGUUCUGUGUCCCUUCUGUGUGGGCCACUCUCCCCUGAGUCAUGAGGUUAACCUCUGACUUCCUUCAGGUCUUUACUCACCUUCUCUGUGAGGCCUUCCAUGGCCACUCUUUCAAAACUGUCAGCCUUUCAUCCCGAUGCUCUAUACAUUUCCCUGCUCUACUAUGUCUCCUGAGCACUCACUAUUGUUUACUUAAUUUCUGCUAGAAACAGAGCGGAAUGGACAAUAAAAGACAGAUAAUCUCCAGGGGAACAUGGAUUUUUGUCUGUUUGUUUCUUUCUUUUUUUUCUUUUUACAGCUGCACCUGUGGCACAUGGAAGAUCCAGGGCUAGGGCCUGAAUCAAAGCUGCAGCUGAGCCCUAUGCCACAGCCAUGGCAACAUCUAAAACCUGUGCUGCAGCUUAUGGCAGUGCUGGAUCUUUAACACAGUGAGUGAGGCUAGGGUUCAAACCUGCAUCCUUACAGAGACUGUGCUGGGUCCUUAACUCCCUGAGCCACAAUAGGAACUCCUGUCUGUUUUUUUCAUACUCUGUCUUAUAGAAUAGUUCUUUGUACAUGGUACAUUCUUUAGUAAGUAUUUGUUAAGUGAAUGAAUAAUGACAAAAUUCCCUAAGUCUCAGCUAGACAAAUAGGAAGUAUAAUCUCCUUCAUUUAAAUUGAUCAUAUGAUUUGGACAAUUGGAAUUUCAGUAGAAAUUCUUGACUUUAGAAUUGAAGACUCCCCUAAGCUUGUUGGCUAGUAUAGGGAAUCUUAGUAACAAAGGGCAUAAAGUCACAUAGUUUAUGAUAGUUUUAAUCAUAGUUUAUGAUUUUUUGAAGAUGAAGGAGAUGUGGCAUUUCUUGCAUCACAAUGUUUUGAGCAAAGUGUAGCCAGUUCACCUUGAGUGUGCACAAAAGCCAGCCUUGCCGCCUCCUGCUAGCUUUUGUUGGUGCAAGUAUGCCUGGCAGUUUGACUUGAGAAUGGCAUUAAGGACUUGCCAUGGUGCUGACAUGAGAAGUGAGAAAUGGCAAGUGCAUGGAACUAGCACAGGGAGCAAAGGGUCAGUGUUUCAAUACCAGCCAUGGCUUAGUUGAUAAGAUACUGCAAAUGAGUACUUCAUGUGUGUGUGUGAGUCUCUGUGUGUCACAUAAGAAGCAUAUAUUGUGUUAUGUGCACAAUGGCCAGUGAAUUUGAUGCCUCUUUUAUGGAUGCUAUUGGAUGUGUCAGCACUUCUUCCAUUCCCUUCUGUCUUGAGGUGUGUGGAAAUUUCUCCUGUGCCAUCCUUUACUUUGAUAAAGGAAUUGAAAAUAAGGUCUCCUCUCUUUGCUUUUGACUUCUCCAUUCAUAUAAUUGGUUUUCCUCCUUUGCUCAGUGCUCCCUAUGGUCACAUCAUAUUACAAAUUAUUAUAUAAUAAAAGUUGUUGCCUUGUAUUUUCUUUCCUACCUGUUUCCUACAGAACUUGGGAGAAAUAAAAGGAAUUGACCCAGGUUAAGAUGACAAAAAUAAUUAUCCCUCGUUUAAAAGAAGAAAAGUUUACAUUAAUAGACUAAUUCAAAUUUAUUUAAUUUUGCACAGAAUUAAAAAAAGCAUCUCACUGAAAAGUAACAUGAAAAAGAAUAUUAAAAUUCUUGAUAAGUUAAGGGGUUAGAAACUACCAUUUAUUGACUAUGUAUAGGGUACCAUCUAGAAAUUCAGUAACUGAGCUGAGAAAUUGAUGUUAUCCCAUUUUACAGGGAAAGAAACCAAGCUUCAGGGAUGUUAAUAAAUGCUAAGGACAUAUUAGUAGGAAGUGGGAGAGGCUGGAUUUGUAUUUAGAUGUGUCUGAUUCCAACUAAACUUUACUAUGCUGGUUUCCAACUGUCUUUAAAUUCAGAGUGUUCUUAAAAUUUCAGUACUGUACAUUCUAAAUUGAAAGCACUGUAUUUCAUUUCUAAGUAAGAUCAUCUUUUCCCUUUGCCAGAAAUAAUAUCUUUGAUUGCUCUAGCGCUUGGUUUGUAUGAAUUGCUUUCCUUGUUUUCUCAAUGCCAUGCAGGGAUUUAAAGUUCCUUGCUGUUAAAAACAGAGAUGAGUUACCUCAUUUUUGAAAUUCCUACACUGAGUUUCAAAAGCAAAAACAUGUCAUUAGGAGCUUAGGCUCAGAAUCUGAAUUUCAUCUUCUCUGCUUACUUACUGCAUAAUAGUGGCCACAUUCCUUAAUUAGGCUGUACCUCAAUAUCUCUAUCUGUAAAACAGAGGUAAUAUCAUCAAUAUAAAGAUUAAAAUAGUUAAUGUGUUAAUACAAUUAAAGUGCUUUUAAACAGAGCCUGACACACAAACAUCACCAAUAAAAUUUUUAUUUCUACCCAGGCAUGGCAAUCAUAAAGAGACAAUCAUUUUCAUUUUCUGGAACAUAGGAUAUUAGUUUCCUAAGGAUCCUUUCCUUCCAUGUCUUCCUGUUAACUAUCUGCUAGGGUUAUACCAGCUGCGCAUGGUGCUUUUUCACUCAAGAGGAAGACAUCUGAAAAUAGGCCUGUCUGUCUCUUUUAUUUUUAAAUUCAUACAUUUGUAAUGAAAAAAGCAAACUGAUCAUCAUUGGAGGAUCUUAGUGGACCAACUCAGUAUUUUGAAAAUUGGUCAGUACAGCAACAUACUAAAGGCCUAUCCUUCAUUUCCUGUGUGGACUGUCCUACUAGAUAAUCAAUAGUAGAAAAGGAAUUAUUUCUUUUCACAGAAGAGUGCAUGGAUCUAGGCAUUGGACAUCAAUACCCCUAAGAUCAAAGAGAGACAUAGAUAGAUAGACAGAUAGAUAGAUAUAUAGAUAGAUAGAUUAUGUGAUUCCAUUUAAUUGAACAUACCAUCAAUAAAGUAGUCUUAUUAAACACUAUAAUUUAUGGAGUUCCCAUUGUGGCUCAGCAAUAACGAACCUGAUUAGUAUCCGUGAGGACAUGGGUUCAGUCCCUAGCCUUGCUCAGUGGGUUAAGGAUCUGAUGCUGCUGUGAGCUGUGGUGUAGGUUGCAGACAUGGUUUAGUGUUGCUUAGGCUGUGGUGUAGGCAGGCAGCUUCAGCUCUGAAUUGACCACUAACGUGGGAACUUCCAU
rnacentral:lncRNA from 1 species